UACGGGGGGAGCAAGCGUUGUUCGGAUUUACUGGGCGUAAAGGGCGCGUAGGCGGUCAGCACAAGUCAGUUGUGAAAUCUCCGGGCUUAACUCGGAAAGGUCAACUGAUACUGUGCGACUAGAGUGCAGAAGGGGCAACUGGAAUUCUCGGUGUAGCGGUGAAAUGCGUAGAUAUCGAGAGGAACACCGGUGGCGAAGGCGGGUCUCUGGGCAGUAACUGACGCUGAGGAGCGAAAGCGUGGGGAGCGAACAGG
rnacentral:rRNA from 1 species